AAUGCUAAACUUCCUCAAUGGAUGAGCUCUGGUUUCCGGAGCGGCGAGCCGGAGCAACGCCGGCGAGGUCAGUGAGUAUGCGGAUGAAUUGCUUGUAGCCUAGGAAACAGUACAAUAUGAUUCAUUGAAUGCAUCUUUGAGGUAGAAGAUGCUCAGUUGCAAUGUAACCUGCCAUGAAUGCCGGAGUCUUCUUGAGGAAGAUUAAGCCGCCAUAAGUGAAGCAUAUCUUAUUCUGAAUACAGAUUGUUGGAAGUUGAUUGGAUAAACAAAGACAAGACUGGCUCCUGAAGGUGCUUGGAAGGAACAAACCCAUUUUUGCUUGACUUCAACACUAGGGUUAUGUGAAAUGUAUUUUUAAAGUUGUUCUUUUAGGGUUUAUAAACGGUUUGUAAGAUGGUAUGUUUUGGCUUGUGAUAGAAUGUUGCGGAAAGGAGAGAUUUAUGUAGCUGACUUUAAAUAGUUGAGACUACCAGUAGUUUGUUAUUGUUGUAUGACAUUAUUGAAUAUGCGUCUUGUGACAAGAAAUUUUGCACUUUUGUAAUUGGCAACGAAGAAUUCUAGUUUUUUCC